rnacentral:tRNA from 1 species
GGAAGGGCUGUGGCUCAGAGGCAGCACAUCUGUUCGGCAUGCAGAAGGCCCCGGGUUCAAUCCCCGGCACCUCCA